UCGGGCCUACGGGACGCAGCAGUAGGGAAUCUUCCACAAUGGGCGAAAGCCUGAUGGAGCAACGCCGCGUGGGUGAAGAAGGUCUUCGGAUCGUAAAACCCUGUUGUUAGAGAAGAAAGUGCGUGAGAGUAACUGUUCACGUUUCGACGGUAUCUAACCAGAAAGCCACGGCUAACUACGUGCCAGCAGCCGCGGUAAUACGUAGGUGGCAAGCGUUAUCCGGAUUUAUUGGGCGUAAAGGGAACGCAGGCGUUCUUUUAUGUCUGAUUU
rnacentral:rRNA from 1 species